CUCAAUGGUGGGCCGGGCGGAGGCGUCGCAAGACGCGCCGGUAUCCAGUAUGACCGGUAAGGCUAACUCCGUCCGGCACCACCACCCGC
rfam:Citrobacter rodentium ICC168, complete genome